rnacentral:rRNA from 1 species
UACGUAGGGUGCGAGCGUUGCCCGGAUUUAUUGGGCGUAAAGGGCGCGUAGGCGGCCACGCACGUCCGUUGUGAAAUCGCCCGGCUCAACUGGGCGGGGUCAGCGGAUACGGUGUGGCUAGAGCAAGCUAGGGGGGCAAUGGAAUUCCCCGGUGUAGUGGUGGAAUGCGUAGAUAUCGGGAGGAACACCAGUGGCGAAGGCGGGUCUCUGGACAGUUCCUGAGCGCUGAGG